GAUGAACGCUGGCGGCGUGCCUAAUACAUGCAAGUCGAGCGAACAGACGAGGAGCUUACUCCUCUGACGUUAGCGGCGGACGGGUGAGUAACACGUGGAUAACCUACCUAUAAGACUGGGAUAACUUCGGGAAACCGGAGCUAAUACCGGAUAACAUGUUGAACCGCAUGGUUCAACAGUGAAAGACGGUCUUACUGUCACUUAUAGAUGGAUCCGCGUCGCAUUAGCUAGUUGGUAAGGUAACGGCUUACCAAGGCAACGAUGCGUAGCCGACCUGAGAGGGUGAUCGGCCACACUGGAACUGAGACACGGUCCAGACUCCUACGGGAGGCAGCAGUAGGGAAUCUUCCGCAAUGGGCGAAAGCCUGACGGAGCAACGCCGCGUGAGUGAAGAAGGUCUUCGGAUCGUAAAACUCUGUUAUUAGGGAAGAACAAAUGUGUAAGUAACUAUGCACGUCUUGACGGUACCUAAUCAGAAAGCCACGGCUAACUACGUG
rnacentral:rRNA from 1 species